GGCGAGGUCGCAUAUCUUGGCCAUUGCGUGGAACUGAAGGCUCUAUGACCAGUCGGUUUCGUGGGUUCAAAUUCCACCCUCACCG
rnacentral:tRNA from 1 species